UUAGUAACGGCGAGUGAAGCGGUAACAGCUCAAAUUUGAAAUCUGGGUCUUUUAGGCUCCGAGUUGUAAUUUGUAGAAGAUGCUUUGGGUGCGGCCCCGGUCUAAGUUCCUUGGAACAGGACGUCAUAGAGGGUGAGAAUCCCGUAUGUGAUCGGUGGCUUGCGCCCGUGUAAAGCUCUUUCGACGAGUCGGGUUGUUUGGGAAUGCAGCUCUAAAUGGGUGGUAAAUUUCAUCUAAAGCUAAAUAUUGGCCAGAGACCGAUAGCGCACAAGUAGAGUGAUCGAAAGAUGAAAAGCACUUUGGAAAGAGAGUUAAACAGUACGUGAAAUUGUUGAAAGGGAAGCGCUUGCAACCAGACUUGCGCGGGGUUGAUCAUCCGGGGUUCUCCCCGGUGCACUCGGCCUCGCUCAGGCCAGCAUCGGUUUUGGUGGUUGGAUAAAGGCCUUGGGAAUGUGACUUCUUUCGGGGAGUGUUAUAGCCCUCGGUGCAAUGCAGCCUACCGGGACCGAGGACCGCGCUUCGGCUAGGAUGCUGGCGUAAUGGUUGUAAGCGACCCGUCUUGAAACACGGACCAAGGAGUCUAACAUCUAUGCGAGUGUUUGGGUGUCAAACCCAUACGCGUAAUGAAAGUGAACGGAGGUGAGAACCCUUAAGGGUGCAUCAUCGACCGAUCCUGAUGUCUUCGGAUGGAUUUGAGUAAGAGCAUAGCUGUUGGGACCCGAAAGAUGGUGAACUAUGCCUGAAUAGGGUGAAGCCAGAGGAAACUCUGGUGGAGGCUCGCAGCGGUUCUGACGUGCAAAUCGAUCGUCAAAUUUGGGCAUAGGGGCGAAAGACUAAUCGAACCAUCUAGUAGCUGGGU
rnacentral:rRNA from 1 species